ACGUAGGCGGCAAGCGUUGUCCGGAAUUAUUGGGCGUAAAGGGAGCGCAGGCGGGAAACUAAGCGGAUCUUAAAAGUGCGGGGCUCAACCCCGUGAUGGGGUCCGAACUGGUUUUCUUGAGUGCAGGAGAGGAAAGCGGAAUUCCCAGUGUAGCGGUGAAAUGCGUAGAUAUCGGGAAGAACACCAGUGGCGAACGCGGCCUUCUGGACUGUAACUGACGCUGAGCCUCGAAAGCUAGGGUAGCGAACGG
rnacentral:rRNA from 1 species